UGGGGAAUUUUGGACAAUGGGCGCAAGCCUGAUCCAGCCAUUCCGCGUGCAGGACGAAGGCCUUCGGGUUGUAAACUGCUUUUGUACGGAACGAAAAGCCCUUCUCUAAUACAGAGGGGUCAUGACGGUACCGUAAGAAUAAGCACCGGCUAACUGCGUGCCAGCAGCCGCGGUAAUACGUAGGGUGCAAGCGUUAAUCGGAAUUACUGGGCGUAAAGCGUGCGCAGGCGGUUAUGCAAGACAGAUGUGAAAUCCCCGGGCUCAACCUGGGAACUGCAUUUGUGACUGCAUAGCUGGAGAGCGGCAGAGGGGGAUGGAAUUCCGCGUGUAUCAGUUAAAUGCGUAGAUAUGGUGAGGAACACCGAUGGCGAAGGCAAUCACUUGGGCCUGCACUGACGCUCAUGCACGAAAGCGGGGGGAGGAAACA
rnacentral:rRNA from 1 species